CUAGUUGCAAAGCCAGACCAGAAGUUUAUUUGCGAUUGCAUAAUGAUCAAAUACCGACUACAAAACUCAGUACUGACGGACAGGAACCAUAUAAGAGGCAUUUAUGCAUGGGUAAGCAAGCACAUCAUUGUAACGCUCCAAGAAUACCAAAAGUGCAUUUAUGUAGAUACGGCAGGAAUCGGGGGAAACCUGUCCGU
rnacentral:ncRNA from 1 species